GGAGAGAUGGCUGAGUGGUUGAAAGCACCGGUCUUGAAAACCGACGAACGUUAAUAGCGUUCCCAGGGUUCGAAUCCCUGUCUCUCCACCA
rnacentral:tRNA from 2 species